CCCUUAGACACUCUAGGCGGCACGCGCGCUACAAUGGGUGGAAGAACGUGUUACUGCCUCCGAAAGGAGGGGUGAAUCACGAAUUCUUGCCCGUGAAUGGGGUAGUUUGUUGCAAUUUUCGGACUUGAACUAGGAAUCCCUUGUAAACAUGCUCAAGAAUAGCGUGUUGAAUACGUCCCUGCCGUUUGUACACACCGCCCGUCGUUUCUUCCGACUGAUACUCAUUGUGAGUUGCAAGGACCCUUUAUUGGGAAAUUGCUGCAAAUGCUUUGUAUUGGAGGAAGAAAAAGUCGUAACA
rnacentral:rRNA from 1 species